GAGUUUGAUCCUGGCUCAGAGCGAACGCUGGCGGCAGGCCUAACACAUGCAAGUCGAACGGAUCCUUCGGGAUUAGUGGCGGACGGGUGAGUAACACGUGGGAACGUGCCUUUUGGUUCGGAAUAACUCAGGGAGACCUGAGCUAAUACCGAAUGUGCCCUUCGGGGAAAGAUUUAUCGCCAUUAGAGCGGCCCGCGUCUGAUUAGCUAGUUGGUGAGGUAAAGGCUCACCAAGGCGACGAUCAGUAGCUGGUCUGAGAGGAUGAUCAGCCACACUGGGACUGAGACACGGCCCAGACUCCUACGGGAGGCAGCAGUGGGGAAUCUUGCGCAAUGGGCGAAAGCCUGACGCAGCCAUGCCGCGUGAAUGAUGAAGGUCUUAGGAUUGUAAAAUUCUUUCACCGGGGACGAUAAUGACGGUACCCGGAGAAGAAGCCCCGGCUAACUUCGUGCCAGCCGCCGCAGUAAC
rnacentral:rRNA from 1 species